rnacentral:lncRNA from 1 species
UUCAUUCAGUGAAUUAUUACAUUGCAGAAUUCCAUGCCACAGGGUUUUUAGAGGGUCAGCUGCAUAGAUGGGUUCAAAAUCAGACACGUUUGUGGAAUAAAGUUCCCCCAGCAGCUAUAAAACACAAUGCUGUAAAUGCAACCUGCAACACAGAUUGCAGCAGAUGAGAGAAGGUGGACAGGUUUGGGAGAUGUACCACACCAAACACUGCCCUGGUCUUUCAGCAGGCAUUUUAUCUAUCACUUUAGGGUUGUGUGUGAAGAUAGUCUCUAACUGGCAAAGGGACACAACAGAUGCUUUUCAAUUCUAUUAAACUCCGUGUAUCAAAUUCUGCUCCUCAACGUGGUGCCAAUAGCCUGGAACUGAAAGUAAACCAUUUUGCUGUAAGUAGUAUUCUUUCUAUUUCAAUUGGCUGAUUAGAUGGGCUAAACACUGAAAAGAUCUCCUGGCAAAGGACGUUCUCUGAUUUCACUGUCUGCUGCUAUCUUAUUUAUCUAUCUGAUUAUAUACUGAAAGAUUUUAUUUCAUGUAUACCUAAAAAGCUUUAAAAAUGAUAGCAGUAACUACUCUUGCUUUCCCUAGAUGCCUUUUCUGACUGCUCAUAUAGACCUUCUACUUAUAUUUUAAUACAGUCAGAAGGUAAGUUCACAACAGUAACUCCCUAUGUAUUCUGUGAUAUAAAAAUGCAGUAUCUAGUGCCUUGUAUCCCUCAUAAGUACUUGUAAACAGUGAUUUAAUACCCUUUUAACUGCCUUUUCAGGAAAUGAAACGUGUUCAGCUCUUGAAUCCCUUCCUUGUAAGAGUUCUCCUAUUCAGAGGAAACUGGGACGCCAUUUAGAUAAGCAGCCAAAUGCUCACAAUGUUUUCUCAGCAAACUUUCUAUCAGUAUUUGGAAAGUUCCCACUUACCAAUUUAAACUAAAGAACGUCGGAAUGAACUGAGCAGGGCAGAGGAGAGAAUUAAAAAGGCUAAUUCAGCUGUAACCACAGCUGUAGAUCUGACCCAGGAUUUAUCUUUGGAGGACUCUUCAAAUAGAUUUUCCUUAAACAAGGCUAAGGAGAAAAGUUUUAUUUCAACAUGCUCAAGUGGUAGAAUAUCACGGAUUAGUUAUUAUAUUUACUAGGUAUACAGGAACUUUGAUUUAGUAGAUGUGCUAUGGAAUCUCUUGUAUGCGAUACACUAUUGGUACACUCUUUAAUAAUUUUUAAUACUGCAAUAAAUUUUACCAACAGCAAAUGUUCCCCUUCA